UCUGAUUCAGGCAAUCAGUGAGCUACAAAGUAUGUAUAAUGAUUUGAGUCUGCUUCCAUGCUACAAGGUGAUCCUUUUAGUAGGACUGCACUAGACUGGUUAACCUCUUUGAUGUGAGCGAUUUCCCCUGAGGAAAAGAUAAAAACAAAAAACAAAAACAGAAAACAGAGGCAUGAUCACUGCAAACCUGUUCAUCAGCAACCACUCAGUGUUGCCACAUCACUGUCAAACAGCUAGGGGCACCAACUGGAGUCUGUCAAAUCUUAAACCACAGGAAGCCCUGUCACUUGCACACCUGCACUGCCAGCCAGCCAGCCAGUUUCAGAGCGUAAUCCAGCAAAUUCAAAGACCAGAAUGAAUGGGUUUGGCUGUUAAGAAACUACUGCUGAGGGCUUUGCUGUUGGUCACUCCCAGAACUUGAAGGCGGCCACCAGAAGCGAGGGUGCCUUAUGCUACAGCGAUGAUGUGCACACUGUAGUAGCUCCGUCACAGACUGCAGAAAGCUACUUUACAGUUCAGGUAAGAAAGUAAGAGGCAGAUUGCAUACAGGCAGGAAAGCAGCUUUUCCAUGAACUCGGCAAUAGACUUGCUGAGACUGCAUUUACUAUUUGUAAGGAGUAUUGGUCAGGUAUGUUUCAUGGGACUACCUAACAUUGCUUAGAAGGCGUUCAGAUUUUCACAUUGUCUUUUUCCUCAUCAGUCUUCCUACUGCAGGGAUGCUGUUUCAGUUUUUUAGCAAGUUCUGUCCACAAGAAUUAGCUGUACAGUGCGGAGAGGACAGUGUAGGGUUUGUUGUCAUGGCAUAGUUCAGACAGAUCUGAGCUUUAGUGAGCCAGACAAAAGCCAUGAAACCACACAAGAUGUCAGUUAGCUCUCCUUGGGCCAUCCUGCUGUGGUACCAGUUCAACAGAGACAGAGCUGGCCCAGCAAGCUUACAGCACUUCUCAAUACACCACAGGGAUAUCCUGAUAAUGUAGUAUAAAUAGAUCAUAAAAAAAUAAAAUAGUAAAUGGCUCUAACUCAUCAGUUAAAGGACAUUUAAUAUUUACAUCUAUUGUAUUGUUCAUGUCAAGUGCACAACUCAGAAAAAUCAAACUGACUUCAAGGAAAUUACAGUAAGAAAUAUUGUAGUUGUGAAGAGAGACUACAUCUGCAGUAAAUGGUAAAUAAACGUAUUCUGCCUUAUCAAUGAGCUGUUAAGUCAUCUGUUGUACUAUAACUCCAUGGAAUUACACAAUUUAAUAUCUGUUUUCCUAACCAAUUAAUUUUAUGCUCAAAGGGAUAUGUAAGUUGGUUUUGAACAUUUGCUUAAGUGCAAUAUACCAGAAUGAGUCUUUACAAAAAGAAUAGCCAUUUUAUUAUUUAUGUUCUGAAAUAAAAGUCAUACAGAUGAGGGUGAAUUUUCCCCCUACAAUAUAAUCUUGAAGGGAAAUAAUGGUCUACAAUGUUGGAUUAGACUCCUCAUCUCUCAAGUUCACUGUACACCUGACAAUAAUAGCACUUGCUUCUCUGAAAGACGGCAUGUCUCCUUCCAGGCAUGGUCUCCUCCCUUUUUCUAGCUUUAACUCUAUUAAUUUCUACCUACAUUAAAUUCAGUUUUUUGGCAUUAGUUUAGCCUUAGAGUAUGUUCUUUUCUAAUGUAAUAAGUAAGCUGUUUAAACCACUAAGCUAAACACAUUUUCUUUUUAGAUGACCAAAAAGUCUCAACAGCAAUGUGGCUCUGGACUACAAUUUAAGACUUACGAGCAACUGCAGAUUUAUGAGCUACAAAUAUGCUGACUGACCUGUUUAUGUAGCUGGACACUAACACCUCAUCUGGGAAGUAAGUCAGCAACAACUUCAAUACAUAUGUGACUUAUAAGAGACCAAUGUGAAAUUUAUAUUGGGACCAGAGUUGAAAUAUAGGAAGAUUAAAGGAUAAGUUUUCAAAUUCUUAUCCUUUCUGCUAAGCAACCUCAUUGACUCCUUUUUCAAGUUUCCUUAUUGUCCCCAGGACUCAUACUUCCAGUUGGUAUAACUGGAAAGGGAAACUCCAUACAUUCAAAAGGGAGAAUGGCAUGAACCCUCCCGGGAGCAAAAUGAGACAAAAUGAGGAUUGGCCCUCCUUGCUCUCACUAUUCCUGAUCUGCUUAUGUGUGGCAUAAAUGCUGAACGCCAGCAGCUUGGCCAGUAUCAGCAGGCAAAGUUCCCAGGUGACAUUCCUGGUGCCACACACAGUGCAGAGAUAAACAGCCCUUGGCAGGAGCACAUCUGGAGGAGCACAGGAGCAGAAACAUUUUAAGAAUAACCUGAAAGCAAAUUUCAAAAGUCCAACUAGGAAAACUUCCAUGAUUGUACAUUCUACGAUUGAACAGAAGAUCCUACAGCUGAUACUGCAUUAAAGCUUGUUCAUAAUGCUAUGCUCAAGAAAAAUACAGCCCAUGCUUGGAUUUCAGGUCCAUGUGGACUUCUGGUCUGCCUCUCAGGAAACUUCAGCACAGCAAUCAGGAAACAGUAAAUAAACCCUACAGUAAAUACGGUUUCUGAGGGUCCUUUACAUUCUGCGUGGUUUUGUCAUAACUUUUUGAAUCUAGAUUGAUGGCACUGGGUGCACCUGGAGCAAGAAAUUCUUGCCAGAUUUCUUGGACGCGAGCAGGAACUUCACGGAUAGGCCUCUUCUUCAGGUCUUCUACUGCUAACCAGAACCUAUGGCACAACAUAGCAUCUUGACUUCCAGCUCAAUAUAAUCACUAAUGAAAUGGAAUCACAUACCUAAGUCCAUAUAUCCUGAAGCAAGGAAAAGGCCUACUAAGCAAUUCACAGAUCUGUUCUGAACGUACUUCCCAGUUUCUACGGAAAUAAAUAGAAGACAUUACUUUCAGAGCAACCUACAUGUCUUCUCAUCAUUCUGCAAAAUGCUUGAUACCUGCAGCUGUAAAUCUUCACAGAAAAAAACUUUAAAACCUUUCUUAUAUUGACAGAGACAAGAAGCAAAUACAUUCCAAUAAGCAGGACAAUGGUACUUUAUCUCCAGAAACCUAUUUCAAAUAAGAGCCUGAUUUUAUAUGCAAUAUUUUAAAAAUUUACACUUUUUUAACUGUAAACUACUACAAUGAUAUGCAUUUUAUUCAUAUUACAUUUCCAGAAUAAACAGUUCCUUUUUACUAAGAAUACACAUAGACACUGGGAUAAUGUCAAGACUGGAUCUGUGCAAUAUACCAAGAAAAACAUUUUUUUUGCAGAAGUUGUAUGCAAAUGUAUUCAAAUUCCUUUAGAUCAGAACAGAACAUCAAUAACCCAUAUAUUGAGACUUUUUUUUUCCAUGAAAAUAGAAUGUCCAUAAAAUUUAACAUUAUCCAUGUUACAUAAGAGGGUUUGUAUAAUCCUAUGCAGGGUACAUUUGAAAUGUUGUGGGUUUUUUUCUUUUUCCUACAGCAAUCAACAUGCUGUAUUCAGUGCUGCUUUUCUCUGCAGAUCUGUUAGCAAUACAUUCUUCGACACUGUUUUCUAAUGUUAUUAUCACUGAAACAGCUCACCUGGUGGCUUUCUAGAGUAGAGAAGGACAGUGAUUUAACAAUAUUUUGACUCUCUGUGAGCACUGCUAGAUGAACCAACGAUUAGACUGUCAAGAAUCACGUCUCGCUGUUGUAGUUGGGCUGGUAUUACUUAGGGGAAAUAAAGCCCUACCCAAAGAUAUUUUCAUCUUUAAAUUACAUAAUAAUGAAAUAAAAUAUAAGAAACAACA